rnacentral:tmRNA from 1 species
GGGGACGUCUUGGUUUCGACGUAUGUCGAAGCAUUGUCUACGCAGGUCGAGGGUGCACCGGUCCCUCGUUAAUACUCUGGUGCAGCGAAACAACUGCAAACACAUUCGCAAAGCUCCGCAAUGCAUUCGCAUUGCGUCCAGCAUUCGCUCUCGCCUAAGCGCGAGAGCACGCCGCUACGCCUGACCUCACAUAGGGUGUAACCGGUGUCAUAUCUUGUGAGCAGGUGCGUGUAGCCACUCAGUACACGAUGCCUGAUUUGCCUGAGUGAACCAUCGAUCGGCGCUUGGCUGUUCCCUACGAUCGUUGGUACCAGAACAGCCUACACCUGUACACGUUUCAAUGGUUCUCAUAUCGGACGUGGGUUCGACUCCCACCGUCUCCACCA